UACGGAGGGUGCGAGCGUUAGCAGGAAUCACUGGGUUUAAAGGGUGCGUAGGCGGCUGGAUAAGUCAGGGGUGAAAGCCCGCAGCUUAACUGCGGAACUGCCUUUGAUACUGUCGAGCUUGAAAGAGGUUGAGGUCAGCGGAACGUGACAUGUAGCGGUGAAAUGCAUAGAUAUGUCACAGAACACCGAUUGCGAAGGCAGCUGGCUGGACCUACUUUGACGCUGAGGCACGAAAGCGUGGGGAGCGAACAGG
rnacentral:rRNA from 1 species